GGACUGACACCGGCGCUCGUGUAGUGCACACCUGCUUGCGGAAGGCGUACGCGGUGCCGCGGAACGGUUUAUCUUGCGCGGCCCCGCACCGCUCUCACUUGGGGCGGCUGUCUACGGGGACGAGUAGGGCAGAUUUCGCCUCGCUGCUUUGCGUCGCAUCGUGUUCUCUAUCACCAGGGACGCCGCUGCUUGCCGACGUUUCGCAGCGACCACCGACAUCAGCAGGACUUCUCCUGUCCUUCAUGGGCGUUGGGUAGCCGCGCUUCUCCGUAGUUCUUCGUUGUUUUAUUUGAAAGUGCUUUCGCUGUGUCGGGCGUGCUAGGCGCCCUUCCUCCCUCCUAACGACGGUAAAGACAUCCUUGACUAAUUUGCGUGACAUCCACGGCUUCCUCGAUCCACUUCGUGCAUCGCUGCACCCCCUCUUUCCUACUCACCGCACCAUGCUUGCCUCUGUCCCAGCGCCAAGGCCGGCGAAGAAGGACUCCGCUGCGUCCCGUAGGAAAUCGGCGUCGAAGAGCACGGGAGCCGCUAUCAAGGAUGGCGCAUCAGCGAGAGUUUCAGCGUCAGGUGCCGCUGAGUCACCAAAGCAGAGCUGUGCGCAGGUGCAUGGCGUCGACUUCCAGUCGCUGGUGCACGCAACGCAGGAGGAGACUCUCCGCGCUGUUGUGUCGAGCCUGCCCACGACUGGCCUACAGGCUACCCAGAUUGGCCGUGCGCGCCGACUCGUGCAGCAGAUUCUUCAUCACCGCUCGCCGGAGGAUCGCGUCUUCCUCGCCUACACAUCCAACAUGAUUUCAUGUGGUCUUCGCGACACGUUUACGUACUUGGCUCGCGAGCGACUGGUGGACUGCUUCAUCUCGUCCGCUGGCGGCAUCGAAGAGGACGUUAUAAAGUGCGGUGGCAGCACGCUGAUCGGUCAGUUCGGUCUGGACGGGCGAGCGCUGCGCCGCCGCGGCAUCAACCGCAUUGGCAACCUCCUCGUGCCCAACGACAACUACUGCUGGUUUGAAGACUUCUUCACACCUGUGCUGGGCUCAGUUCAGGAGGCGCAGCGGGCGUCGCGAUGGAAGACGCACACGGCCCCGUCCGAGAUCAUUGAGGCCAUGGGCGCCGCCAUCGCAAAGAACCACCCUGACACGUGCACCUCCAGCCUGGUGUACUGGUGCUACCGGAACGGGAUCUCCGUCUUCUCGCCAGCCUUCACAGAUGGAUCGAUGGGAGACAUGAUUUACUUCUACAACUUCUCGCACAAGGGGCUCGUCGUGGACCCCCUGGAGGACGUUGUGCGGCUGCGCAAGCUGGCAGCAACGGGGAGGGGCCGCAACUUAGCCAUCGUGCUCGGCGGCGGUCUUCCCAAGCACCACCUUCUGCGCAAUGUGUCGAUGGACGCUGUUGUCAUGGUGACAACAGGCUUGGAGGCCGACGGCUGCGUCAGCUCCGGCGUUCUCGCUGACGACGUGGCGUGCGGCCUGCUCAGAGAGGAAACGGAGACUGUGCGCGUGCAAGGUGAUGCCACGGUGGUGUUCCCGCUGAUGCUGAUUUCAGAGGAAGCUGCCACCCGGGAGCGGGCCGCAGCGUAAGCGCAGAGCGCCGCAGCAACGAGGAGCCAUGCACGCUCUCACACACGCACACACACGACUCAUAACAGCGCACUUGCGGGGCAUACCCCCACUACGCAAGCAUACAGCAGAGGCUUGAGUAAUGCAGCGACAGCAACGAGUCCUUCCAGCACGCACGGGACAAAGCGAGGCAGCAACGGCAGAUGAUCGAGCGCGUCGCAGCACGUGUUCUACUGCUGCCGCCGCUGCCGCUGCUACACGGGGCGCUUGGUCCGGAGUGAUAUCUGUGGCUGCGACGGCCUCGUUUUUUCACAUAACGAAG
rnacentral:misc_RNA from 1 species